rnacentral:tRNA from 1 species
UCUUGACAGCUCAGUGGGUAGAGAAUCUGCCUGCAAUGCAGGAAACCCUGGUUCCAUUCCUGGGUCAGGAA